CCCUUAGAUGUUCUGGGCUGCACGCGCGCUACACUGAUGCGCUCAACGAGUUUUAACCUUGCCUGGAAAGGUUGGGUAAUCUUUUUAAAACGCAUCGUGAUGGGGAUAGAUUAUUGCAAUUAUUAAUCUUCAACGAGGAAUUCCUAGUAAGCGCGAGUCGUCAGCUCGUGCUGAUUACGUCCCUGCCCUUUGUACACACCGCCCGUCGCUCCUACCGAUCGAAGAGUUAGGUGAAUUGUUUUGAUCGAUAAGAUUUGACUAUGGUCAACUCUCGUUGUGAAAUUCUGUGAAUCUGACUGUUUAGAGGAAGGAAAAGUCGUAACA
rnacentral:rRNA from 1 species